GACGAGCGCUGGCGGCGUGCCUAAUACAUGCAAGUUGAGCGAUGAAGAUUGGUGCUUGCACCAAUUUGAAGAGCAGCGAACGGGUGAGUAACGCGUGGGGAAUCUGCCUUUGAGCGGGGGACAACAUUUGGAAACGAAUGCUAAUACCGCAUAAUAACUUUAAACAUAAGUUUUAAGUUUGAAAGAUGCAAUUGCAUCACUCAAAGAUGAUCCCGCGUUGUAUUAGCUAGUUGGUGAGGUAAAGGCUCACCAAGGCGAUGAUACAUAGCCGACCUGAGAGGGGGGACGGCCAAAAUUGGAACGAGACCACGCCCCAACCUCCAAGGGAGGCAACCGGAGGGAAUCUUCGGCAAUGGACGAAAGUCUGACCGAGCAACGCCGCGUGAGUGAAGAAGGUUUUCGGAUCGUAAAACUCUGUUGGUAGAGAAGAACGUUGGUGAGAGUGGAAAGCUCAUCAAGUGACGGUAACUACCCAGAAAGGGACGGCUAACUACGUG
rnacentral:rRNA from 1 species